AUUGAACGCUGGCGGCAUGCUUUACACAUGCAAGUCGAACGGUAACAGGCCGCAAGGUGCUGACGAGUGGCGAACGGGUGAGUAAUGCAUCGGAACGUGCCCAGUCGUGGGGGAUAACGCAGCGAAAGCUGCGCUAAUACCGCAUACGAUCUAUGGAUGAAAGCGGGGGACCGUAAGGCCUCGCGCGAUUGGAGCGGCCGAUGUCAGAUUAGGUAGUUGGUGGGGUAAAGGCUCACCAAGCCAACGAUCUGUAGCUGGUCUGAGAGGACGACCAGCCACACUGGGACUGAGACCCGGCCCAGACUCCGACGGGAGGCAGCAUUGGGGAAGUUUGGACAAUGGGCGCAAGCCUGAUCCAGCAAUGCCGCGUGCAGGAAGAAGGCCUUCGGGUUGUAAACUGCUUUUGUACGGAACGAAAAGGCUCUGGUUAAUACCUGGGGCUCAUGACGGUACCGUAAGAAUAAGCACCGGCUAACUACGUGCCAGCCGCCGCCGUAAAAC
rnacentral:rRNA from 1 species